rnacentral:misc_RNA from 1 species
AAGUCGUAACAAGGUUUCCGUAGGUGAACCUGCGGAAGGAUCAUUAAAGAAUAAUACACAACACUUUUAGGCAUAAACUCAUAAUAUUAAAUUUCAAUAACUAAUAAAAAAAAAAAACUUUCAACAACGGAUCUCUUGGUUCUC